CUUCUGUUGCUUUGUCCACUGAGUAUGAAAAUCUCUUUCCAAAGGGGCUGAGAAAAUUAUCACUCAAACGGAAACUCUGGUUAACCCAACAGUCUUUGAACGUAUCAUGUAGGACUGUAAGUUUGUUGGGCCUUCAAUGAGGGAGUGACUCACACGGACACAUUAACGCUUUUGAGCACAGAGUCAGCAGCUCGAGCAUGAGGAGGAAACUGACUCUGUACACACACACAUAGCUCAUGUUGGAAUGUGUUCAGAACCACAUGCUUGUGACUGAUCCUGAUGUUUUGUCUACGCAGUGACACAGAGUAUGUUUCGCUUCAACACUGAGGAUGAAAAAGUUCCUGAUUUUGACUGUUUGAACAAAUUCGGCCUGCACGUCCAGUGUCCUGAAUCUCCAUGUCUGAGUGACCAAAUUCCUUAUCCAGCAGCACUUGAACAAGAUGCAAGGAUGCAAGGAAUUAAAGUGAGGACAUGUAUAUAACUCUGGAGUUAUCCUCUAUUUUAUUGAUGACAGUUUAGCUCAAUAUUUGGUGCUUUAUACUCAUGUCACACAGUUUUAUCACAAGACCUGAUAAAUGUUUCAGGGCUCUCCUAAGAAUGUUCGGGUCCUGCUUUUUCAUGGUGAUGUGCACUGCAGCAUCUAACCAGUGAGGGAUGUUUGAUUUGGGGCUGUGUCUCUCUGGAGAAAGACCUUCACAAAGGCUGCGUUCACGUAUCCUCUCCCCUGAUUUCCCUCCUCUCUCCUUUCUCCUCUCUCCUCAGGGCAAUGUUGUAAGGGAUCCAGGGCACACCGUUAAUCUAAAGUCUUAGUCCUGACCCAGAAACAGCAUGUCUGACAGUUGCAGUUUUUCUUUUUCCGAAAAGAAAAAGCAAGAUCCUGUGACCUGUGACAACAAAAAUAAAUACCUAUUACCUUCAAACCCAAGGAGCUUGAGGGUAACAAGUGCACUGUUUGCUUCCUCAGUGCCCUCUACUAAAAAUAAACAGUUUAAAUUCAUGGUAGAUAAGUCGAUCUUCAUCCAGAUUUUAGUUUAAGUCCAGAUUUCCAAACAUAAACAUGUGGUUCAGCUUGUGCAGGUGUGUUUGUAUGUUCUGCUCAGCAGAUUUCAUCCUUCACCGCUCGCUGUUCCCCGUUGCUGGAGGAGAGAGGAGGUUUUUGUUCAGACGCUUGAUGAGGAAGACCCAAACAUGACCCUCCAUUUACUGCUCCUCUGCCAAUACCCCACCAAGGACAGAGCGGCAGUGUUUGUGUGUCUGUGUGUGUGUGUGUGUGUGGGGGGGGGGGGGGGACUGUACAGUUUAUCAGUUUGUGUUCCUAAAAUCGUUGUAUGAAAAUACAAGCUUCCAUAUUUUAAAGUAGUGUUUGUUUUUGACUGCGUGUCAAUUUAUGAUUACUAUUUUUUUCUAUUGCAGAGGCACGGACAUUAUUCUACAGGUGGAAUUACAGACCAGAGAUGAGACAACUUGAAGAUCUAAUUUUGUUGUUUUUGGAAAGAAGAAUAAAAUCUGUGCAAAAAUUUGAACGUUUUCCC